CCUACGGGAGGCAGCAGUAGGGAAUCUUCCACAAUGGGCGAAAGCCUGACGGAGCAACGCCGCGUGGGUGAUGAAGGUCUUCGGAUCGUAAAACUCUGUUGUUAGAGAAGAACGUGCGUGAGAGUAACUGUUCACGUCUCGACGGUACCUAACCAGAAAGCCACGGCUAACUACGUGCCAGCAGCCGCGGUAAUACGUAGGUGGCAAGCGUUAUCCGGAUUUAUUGGGCGUAAAGGGAACGCAGGCGGUCUUUUAAGUCUGAUGUGAAAGCCUUCGGCUUAACCGGAGUAGUGCAUUGGAAACUGGAAGACUUGAGUGCAGAAGAGGAGAGUGGAACUCCAUGUGUAGCGGUGAAAUGCGUAGAGAUAUGGAAGAACACCAGUGGCGAAGGCGGCUCUCUGGUCUGUAACUGACGCUGAUGUUCGAAAGCGUGGGUAGCAAACAGGAUUAGAUACCCUAGUAGUC
rnacentral:rRNA from 1 species